UCUAUACUAUGUGAAUCAUCGAAUCUUUGAACGCAAUUUGCACCUCGAUGGCUUUUGUCAACAGGUAUACUUGUUUGAGUAUCACUAACACUCUCUCACUCUUUUGUGGGGAAUUGAGCUUCUAUGUGUAGUUGCUUUAAAUGCAGACCUGGUUAAGCCUCGCGGACGCCAGUCUAUUGGGAUAACAUCCUAACAGUAGACUGUCUUCGAGGCCUGCUUUUAGCAACAGGAUCGUCUUCGGACAAUUUAUAACAAUGAUCUCAAAUCAAGUAAGGAUACCCGCUGGAUUUAAGCAUAUCAAUAAGCGGAGG
rnacentral:rRNA from 1 species